ensembl:lncRNA
CUUUUUUCUCGUGUGGAAUAUUGGGAGGUGCAGGCAAACACUGACUAACAUUUAUUGAUAGACUGUCCAGCCCAGCUUUCAAUCAAGCCAGAGAGUCACGGCGGCGCCGACUCUUCAUUUCUGGUGUGUGCGCUCCCACGGGUCACUCCAAACCCAAGAGAGGGAGGUAUGGCCGCUUGUAAUUUUAGCAGAUUGAGAGGCAUUUCCCAUCGUAUAUUUAUUAUAGGUCUGCCGGUGCUACUGCUAGUCCAACUAACGGUGCCACGCGCGCAUAUAAUAACACGAGCGGGGACGAGCCUGCUUUUCUCGUCUUGAGCAUAGAGAAGAGUGACGGAUCAGCGUCGUCUGAGGUUAGAAAAAAUGAAGGGGAUUUGGAAAUCAGCGUGUUGGGUCUCUGGACUGACGAGGAUUCGAGACUGACAGGAUACAGGGACAAAAAAGAGCCUGAAGAACGCCAGAACAGUGAGUUCCUCAGUUGUGGCUAGAGAGCUGAUACUGCAGCCAUGGGCAUCAGAACAACCCUCGUUUAUUGCAGAGUUGUAGCGUCUCACCCAGUCCCUCACCACAACAGAGAUGGAAAUCACACAUCUACACACUCUCCUGUUCACCCACAUGUUUUGUGCAUCAACCACUGGAAGGGCAAACGGGGUUGUGUGGCCCUAUAGUCAUUCAGGUAAACAUAUAUGUUACACUGCAGCAAAAAGACACACCACAAACUGCUUAUUUAAUUGAAGGUUCCCCUAAAAAACGCAAGUAUGGAAGUAGCGAUUAUUUUUUUUCUUUCAUAUUGUGAUGUACAUCCAGGUGAAAUGAAUAAAGGAAAAAGAAACCAAUGUAGGAUGGGGACUUGGUUCUAUACAACCUUGCAGUCUAUAGAGUUCAACAGUCUGGUUCCUUUUAUUUUCUCCAUAAGGCAAAUUGUGAAUCUUUAAAGACAGACCUGCUUAGAGCUACGAGGCUGUUAAUAGAUGCCUUUGUUGAAGCCGUUAG